ACCUACUUCCGGCUUCGGCCCCAUGAUGGCGGGUGCCGAGAACUAUGUGGGCUUUCAGCGACCUUGCUGGGUCACGUGAAGCGGGCCUCCAACGAGCCUUUCGUUUCCUCCAAUUCCUCAGAUUCUACUAUCUCUGUCUCGGCGCCGAGGGCUUGAGCUCCCCCUGCUGUUCGUUAACAUAAUCGUUAAUGCAGAUCCUGUCCGUUCCCUUUAAGUCAGCUGUAUCUUCUCUCGAGGUCGCUAUCAUGGAAACGGCUCAAGGGAGCAGCUCCGUUCUGAUGAUUAACUCUGGCGCGGUUCCUUUGAUUCAGCCCACAUCCAUGAACAUCAAGGGGCAGUCAGAAGACAUAAUCAAAACUCCUUAAUUUCAUAAUAAAUUGAAGACUCAACCAUAGUUUCAACUAUAAAACUCCAAUGUCUACAUGCAGUAAAAAAAGCAAUGAGGAGACUCUUGGUUUUUGGAUCUGCAGCAUGCAAGAAAUCAUAUUUGCAACGGAGAAGAGUGAUGGGAGUGGUCUUCUGUAUGUGUAUGCAAAAGCUGAAGUUUUGCUUCCCACUACAAGGAGAAUAUGGAACAAAUGGCUUCAGGAUUCCAGUUUAUGGGAUGGAUCUACAAGGGGUCAAAUUGCUUUGAUACCCAAAGGCCAAUGAAAAGUGUUCCAUCUGGAGGGCAGCUGGUUGUGGAAGUUGUCAUAGAUAAUCCCAUAUGCUUUAUAUAUCCCGAAGAAGAUAUAGAAUCUGUUCCAGGAAGAAAUGCAGUGAUUUCUUCAUCAGUUUACCAAAAGGCUUUUUUCUUUUGGGUAUGGCUGCUAUCUUCCCCUUGCUCCGCAGCGUUUGACCAUGUAAUCAGGACUGCAAGCCAAAGAGAGAGUUCAGGCUACAUCUCACCAAAAGUUACCUCAAUGUGUAAAGUUCACUGGACUCAGUAUGAGAUUUAUUGAAACCUGAAAAGGAUCAAAUAUUGAUGCUCUGGGAAAUAAGUUACCCUGCUGGGAAAGGAGGGACAGCAGACAAAUCGGGACCUGACUUCCUUGACAGAACUUCUUUCCAACAUUCCUUUGGGGUGGAAAGAAUGGGGAAGAAAACCAAGAUUGAGAUUAGGAGGAGGAGGAGGAAAGAAUACAAAGAUUAGAAAUCGCUUGCCACGUGUGUACAUCACAUGUACAGCUCAUUAAUGUUACUAAUUUUUAUUUUCAAAAUGUAUGUAAGAUUGGCUUUAAAGGAUUAGAUACAAAAAUAUUGGGAAUAGAAAUUCUGUAUUCGCAUCUUUAAAUGAGAAGGUUACUCUCUGAGUUUCUACAAUUUUUAAGCUUAAGUACAUUAUUUCCAUAUUCUUUUUAUAAUAUUUUUAAAUAUUGUAUUAAGAUUCAUAUGCAUUUUUUAAAUUUCUUCUAACAUGCAGAUUCUUGUCUGCAAUUUGUAUAAUUUUUUUUGUAAGAAAUUUUCUCAAUACAGGUAUAUGUGCUAUUUUUAUCCUCUAACAGAUAUAGUUGUAUUUGUGUGUAUGUGUUUAUGUGUGUAUGUAUAUGUUGUGUUUGUGUAUAUAUGUGUACACAAACAAACACACACACACACACAAACACAUAUGUAAGAAAUGCACUGCAAAUUCUAGGAACCUGUCAUUUCAAGAGCCCGUAACUUGUUUCAAUUUUUGCAAUUUAUUAUUUAGAUAAUUUAUAUUGCUGCCCACUCACUUUUAGUAAUUCUAGAAGGCUUACGAAAAAUGAAAAACCAAAAUACAAAGAGUUAAAAAAAAGUACAUCCUCCCUCCCAACAACAAGCAAACAAGUCACUUGAUGGAAUCCAGCCCGCUCUGGUUUCCGCAGGCCCAUUGGCAAAACCAGGCCUUGCAAAAAAGUGUCAAAGUGGGGGGCCAGUUCCCAAAGGAAGGGACUCCCCCACAGAAAAAGCCCUACUUCUGGUCACAUCAGAUGUACUUUCUUAGGAGAGGGCCCCGCAACAUUUCCUACCUCCCCGCUUUGAUGGUUUGUGUAGAUAUAAAUGGGAAGAGACAGGGCUUCAGGAUAAUCGGAUCCCAAGCCAUGUAGGGCUUUAAAAGUGACAACCACAACUUUGAAUUGUAACCGGAAGUAAAUUGGCAACCAAUGUAGUUCCUUCGGAGAAGUAACACAUGAGCACACCUGGUCUGCACAAAUCCACAUGGGCAGCUGCAUUUGAACCAUUGUUGCUCUGGAUACUUUUCAAGGGCAGCCCCAUGUAAAGCGUGUUACAGUAGUCAGUGUGGGAAGUGAUUAUGGCAGGAGUUUGAGCAGGGAUUGUUGGUCCUAGGAAGGGGUUAAUUGCACACAGCUGCAGUUGCACAAAGGCCCUCCUGGCCAUACUGCCACCUGUCCUUGAAGCAGUAGUCAUGAGUCCAGGAGAAACCCCAAUUACACUCUGAAUCUAUCUGGGGCAUCCCGGCCAAGACCAGAGAUGGCAAUGUAGAAAUAGAACUGUAAUAAAUGAACGUUUCCUAAUAUAAUUUUCAAAAAUAUUCAACAGUUCUUUUUUAUUUCAGGAAUUUCAGCAGUAUAAGGAAAAUAACCUAAUGGAAUGUUUGUGAAUAAUUGUGUAUUAAGCUUAACGUUUUAUUCUUAAAUUUAAUAUAUAUUUUUAAAGAAAGCAAAUAUAUCAAACUCAUGAAAUGUCAUAAAAUCUCAAUAUUUCUUUAUAAGAUCUUGUUGAAACCUUAUGACAUUUGAGAUUAUUGAUAGAGAUGCUAGGCUAUUCUUGAAAUUGAGAAAGGGUGCCCUGAUUCUAAAAAGUGUGCAAUUUCCUUUUAUGAACUGAUAGGUUUAUUAGUUUGGGUGAUAUAAGGAGGGCUGUAAUGUUGGCCCACACAGUGAUUUGACAGAGUGCAGUAACAAAGAAAAAUAUUUCCUUUCUGGAAAACAUGUACUGUAGUACAAUAGUGAUAGAUGGGUGGACAAAGUAUUUGCACUGUAAGAAGUUUACAACUGUCACUGCAUAGCAAGGAGCGAGUUUGCUCUGAAAAGGUUAGCCAGAUCUCGAAGUUUUUGAGGAUUCUAUGAUACAGUCUUAUUUAUACUUCCAUAUUACUGAGCAUGAGAUGAGAGAUUCGCAGCAUUAACACUCCCAAUAAAUUCACAUAAAUUAAAAUAAAUAAAUUCACAUUUCUUAAUGAAUUUUCAGAAUUCUCCUGUUACUGUCUCUUGUUACAAUGAAAGCAUUCAGGGAAUGAAAUCUGGGAAAGUUGGGGCUGCUUCAGUGCUACUUUCUGCUGUAGCCACAUGGUAGUCAUUUUCAACAGUCCAUGAUAUGGGUAGUCCUUGACUUAUGACUACA